UUGCCAUGAUGAGGAUGUUAACAUGUGGAAAGUCUACAAAGACUUGAUGAUACAUCAGCAAUCAUGUUGAUCCUGAGCGGUUACCUGAGCAA